UGCUGGAUAUUUUGUUUGAAAAGAUUGUGGUAUGUUUCAGACUUUAUGUGUGGAAUAUUCAAAUAAUGCCAAGAACUCUACAAACAUGUUUAUGCGAUUCACGGAAUGAAAAAUGGAAACUGUACUCCGCUUGUCUUUAUGCAGAAAAUAGACUUUCAAGAAUGAUGUAUGCCUCGUUCACACGUACAUUUAAUUCGAAUCGAAUGCGAAUCGAAUUCGCUAAUCGCGUUC
rnacentral:lncRNA from 1 species